AAAAAGGCAAACCCUGGGUUUCCGUGCGAACGUUUGACUGUCCGUCUUAUAUGAAUUUUUUUUAUAAUUAGUAUUUUCAUUGUUGUUAGAUGAUAAAACAUAAUUAAUACUUUGUGCGUGACUUAUCUUUUUAAUUUUGUUUCAUAAUUUUUUUAAAUAAGACGGACGGUCAAAUGUUGGACACGGAAACCAGGGUUUGUCUUUUU
rfam:Oryza glumipatula chromosome 8, whole genome shotgun sequence.